AGCGAACGCUGGCGGCAGGCCUAACACAUGCAAGUCGAACGAACCUUUCGGGGUUAGUGGCGGACGGGUGAGUAACACGUGGGAACGUGCCUUUAGGUUCGGAAUAACUCAGGGAAACUUGUGCUAAUACCGAAUGUGCCCUUCGGGGGGAAGAUUUAUCGCCUUUAGAGCGGCCCGCGUCUGAUUAGCUAGUUGGUUGAGGUAAUGGCUCACCAAGGCGACGAUCAGUAGCUGGUCUGAGAGGAUGAUCAGCCACAUUGGGACUGAGACACGGCCCAAACUCCUACGGGAGGCAGCAGUGGGGAAUCUUGCGCAAUGGGCGAAAGCCUGACGCAGCCAUGCCGCGUGAAUGAUGAAGGUCUUAGGAUUGUAAAAUUCUUUCACCGGGGACGAUAAUGACGGUACCCGGAGAAGAAGCCCCGGCUAACUUCGUG
rnacentral:rRNA from 1 species